GGCGGGGAUUAGUGGCGAACGGGUGAGUAACACGUGGGCAAUCUGCCCUGCACUCUGGGACAAGCCCUGGAAACGGGGUCUAAUACCGGAUAUGACUGUCCAUCGCAUGGUGGAUGGUGUAAAGCUCCGGCGGUGCAGGAUGAGCCCGCGGCCUAUCAGCUUGUUGGUGAGGUAGUGGCUCACCAAGGCGACGACGGGUAGCCGGCCUGAGAGGGCGACCGGCCACACUGGGACUGAGACACGGCCCAGACUCCUACGGGAGGCAGCAGUGGGGAAUAUUGCACAAUGGGCGAAAGCCUGAUGCAGCGACGCCGCGUGAGGGAUGACGGCCUUCGGGUUGUAAACCUCUUUCAGCAGGGAAGAAGCGAAAGUGACGGUACCUGCAGAAGAAGCGCCGGCUAACUACGUGCCAGCAGCCGCGGUAAUACGUAGGGCGCAAGCGUUGUCCGGAAUUAUUGGGCGUAAAGAGCUCGUAGGCGGCUUGUCACGUCGGUUGUGAAAGCCCGGGGCUUAACCCCGGGUCUGCAGUCGAUACGGGCAGGCUAGAGUUCGGUAGGGGAGAUCGGAAUUCCUGGUGUAGCGGUGAAAUGCGCAGAUAUCAGGAGGAACACCGGUGGCGA
rnacentral:rRNA from 1 species